CUAUCGUUACUUUUUCUUCUAGCAACGCCGGGAUGAUCUGCUAGUAAGUUUAUAAUACUUAAAAACGUUAUAUAUUUAUGAAUUAUACAUUAUAGAAGAAAAUGGAUAAAGACUACGUGUGGAAAAUUUCUGGUCACGAUCAUCCCCAAGCGAUGAGAUUUACAGAAUCGAAAAAACAAAUAACUCACACUUGGUUUUUUGAUAUCAUUAAAAUCUUACAAGAACAGUUAAAAUUUAGAUAUGAAGUUGUUCAUCCAAUACCUUUAAAAGCCGGCACAAGAGAAGAAGAUGGCUCUUAUUCUGGAAUGA